GGAUUGUGGCUCAGUGGCAAAGCGCUUGGCUGGUGCCUAUGAGGCACUGGGUUUGAGCCUCAGCACCA
rnacentral:tRNA from 1 species